rnacentral:rRNA from 1 species
AGUCGUAACAAGGUCUCCGUAGGUGAACCUGCGGAGGGAUCAUUACCGAGUGUGGGCCCUCGCGCCCAACCUCCAACCCUUUGUCGAUUCGUAACCGUUGCCUCGGGGGGCGACCCGGACGUCGCGCCGGGAGUCCCCCAGAGGUCCAACCCAACACACUGCGUCCUUGCGUCGGAGUAUUGAAACUAAAUCAAUCAAAACUUUCAACAACGGAUCUCUUGGUUCUGGCAUCGAUGAAGAACGCAGCGAAAUGCGAUAAGUAAUGUGAAUUGCAGAAUUCAGUGAAUCAUCGAAUCUUUGAACGCACAUUGCGCCCUUUGGCAUUCCGAAGGGCAUGCCCGUUCGAGCGUCAUUACACCACUCAAGCCUGGCUUGGUAUUGGGCAUUACAUAUUCAGUUGUAGGCCUUCAAUUCUUCGGCUGGACGGUACGAAUCUCAGCGUUGUGGUUUAAUCAAAUCGCUGGCGAGGAGGGCCGGACGUCGCCGUAAAACUUCAUUACAGGUUGACCUCGGAUCGGGUAGGGAUACCCGCUGAACUUAAGCAUAUCAAUAAGCGGAGGAAAAGAAACCAACAGGGAUUGCCCUAGUAACGGCGAGUGAAGCGGCAACAGCUCAAAUUUGAAAUCUGGCGCAAGCCCGAGUUGUAAUUUGUAGAGGAUGCUUCUAGGCAGCGGCCGGUCUAAGUCUCUUGGAACAGGGCGUCAUAGAGGGUGAGAAUCCCGUAUGUGACCGGCUGGCACCCUAUACGUAGCUCCUUCGACGAGUCGAGUUGUUUGGGAAUGCAGCUCUAAAUGGGAGGUAAAUUUCUUCUAAAGCUAAAUACCGGCCAGAGACCGAUAGCGCACAAGUAGAGUGAUCGAAAGAUGAAAAGCACUUUGGAAAGAGAGUUAAAAAGCACGUGAAAUUGUUGAAAGGGAAGCGCUUGCAACCAGACUUGCUGACGGUGUUCCGCCGGUCUUCUGACCGGUCUACUCGCCGUCUGCAGGCCAACGUCGUCUGGGGCCGCCGGAGAAAGGUGGUGGGAAUGUAGCUCCCUCGGGAGUGUUAUAGCCCGCUACACAAUACGGCGCGCGCCGGGCGAGGUCCGCGCUUCGGCAAGGACGUUGGCGUAAUGGUCGUAAGCGGCC